CGCUGGUCGGAAAAACGAGGUAGGGCUUCCCGAGACCGGGGCCGUCCGACCGCGUCGUUUCUCCGCUUCGCCAGACGCAUUUGUCUCCCGCUCGAAGGACGCCGCAGCCGGUCGGGCAGUGCAAGCGCGACGGCCUGAGGGGCGGACGACGGCAGGUAGCCGGUGGCGCGCCUCGUGCGCGUCGCCGGUUGUUAGCCGGUCCGCCAGUGGCUCGUCGCCCGACCGAGGUAUCACGAGGCCCUCGCGGGCUCUCUCGUCUCCUCCUUUAACCGGAUGUCGGGACAGACCGUCGCAAGCGAAGGCCGCCGUCCCGCCGCACUCCCUCGGAGUGGGCGGGCGAACGGUCGGCGCCGAUGGCGACGGCGGACCCGUCGGAGGCUGGAGGCUGGCGGCGAGUAGGUCGGUCACCCACCCGACCCGUCUUGAAACACGGACCAAGGAGUCUAACAUGUGCGCGAGUCAAUGGGUCUUGAACAGGCCCAGGGGCGCAAUGAAAGCAAAGGUCGGCUCCCGUCGACCGAGUUGGGAUCCCGCACCCUCACAGGUGCGGGCGCACCAACGACCCGUCCUAUGCGGCUCGCCGCUUGGGCGGAGUGUGAGCGUACACGUUGGGACCCGAAAGAUGGUGAACUAUGCCCGGACAGGACGAGGCCAGAG
rnacentral:rRNA from 1 species